CCAAAUAUUUGACGCUGUGAACCCAGUCCAUCUAACAAAAACCGACAGAUCUAUGAGAAGAAGGCCAGAACCCUGUAUAAAAUGCAAUGCAGUUUCCUGAAAUUAGUUCCUCGUAAGUUUGUUGUCAUUUCAGUUCGACUGGCUGGUUUAUUUAUGGGUUUAUUUAGUAAUGUCCAAUACAGGCAUCUGAUGUCUGAUGGUGAAGAUGGUGUAUGGUGGUGUAUGAUGGUUGAAGUGUGUCAGAUGGUUGUCAGAUGGUGUAUGAUGGUGUAGUGUGGUUAUACAGGGAAGGGUUGUCAGAUGGUGAAGAUGGUACAGAUGGUGUAUGAUGGUCGAAGUGUGUCAGAUGGUUGUCAGAUGGUGUAUGAUCGUGUAUGAUGGUCAAAGUGUGUCAGAUGGUUGACAGAUGGUGUAUCAUGGUGUAGGAUGGUUAUACAGGAAAGGGUUGUCAGAUGGUGAAGAUGGUACAGAUGGUGUAUGAUGGUCGAAAUGUGUCAGAUGGUGUAUGAUGGUGUAGGGUGGUUAUACAGGGAAGGGUUGUCAGAUGGUGAAGAUGGCACAGAUAGUGUAUGAUGGUCGAAGUGUGUGGUGAAGAUGGUACAGAUGAUGAAGAUGGUACAGAUGGUGUAUGAUGGUCGAAAUGUGUCAGAUGGUUGUCAGAUGGUGUAUGAUCGUGUAUGAUGGUCAAAGUGUGUCAGAUGGUGUAUGAUGGUGUAGGGGGUUAUACAGGAAAGGGUUGUCAGAUGGUG